UCCCCCGACGCUAAUGCUGCAUUCAAUGAUCCACCGAGCGGCGGCUGAGACGGGCCCACGUUUUCGUGUAGCUUUGUGGGUUGAUUUCCAACCAAACAAUCCAAAAAAAAUUAAAAAUUACGAAGAAAAAGGGUAGAAAGAGAACAUACGCCUCAGCAGCCACCAAACUAACCCUCUGGAACUAAUACAGCAGGGCACAAGUGCAGUCAGCUUUGACGAGAAAGUAUCUUAGCAGACAGCUAAACGUUACAUUUGUAAAUAAAAUGGUCACGUAGGUGUGGAUGUAAUUUCCAGUGAUGUUCUUGGGCUGAGGAAGGAAACUGGAGUACCCUGAGAGAACCUAUGCAUGUAAACUCCACGCAGGGAGACUCCAGGCCAGGAUUCAAACCCAGGAGCGUCUUGCUGCGAGGCAACAGGGCCACCAACUGAAUCACCUUCAACCCUGGUCAGUCCAGAACAAAUGUCAGUCCAAAGAUGGCAUGCUUCCUUCCUGUGCCCUGUCCCCUGGCAACAGAAACCCUGCAUGGUUCUGAAAAGAGGACAAGAGCCUGGGAAACUCUUUUUAGAAGAGCGGAGGGGAGGCUCAAAACUCAGCAGGAGAGCAAUAUGCAAAACGGAGGAUUCCCGCUCUAUAACCGGACGCUACGUGCUGCCGCUAGACUGAUGCACAUUACCUUCCUGCUCUGUGACUAACUGUGCCGGACAAUAGCCAUCAUUCCUUUUCCACCCUGCUUGUUUGAGACAGGCAGCAAGACGGUGCAGCCGCUCCACAAAAUGAAGAAUGGUAUUAGCUUCCUUCCUUCCUUCCUCUUUUUUUAUGAUUACAUUUAUUUGUAAUUAAUAAUAAUAAAACUGAGUAUUCUGAUUGUGUAUGAAUUAAUGUGCAAAAGGGGAUGAUUUAAUGUUUAGAACAUUUCUUUGUAUUUUUUCUGAUGGUCAGAAAAUGUUUGACAGAUUAAUGAUAAUAAUAAGUGUUUGAUACAGC